rnacentral:rRNA from 1 species
UACGAAGGGGGCUAGCGUUGCUCGGAAUCACUGGGCGUAAAGCGCACGUAGGCGGACUCUUAAGUCAGGGGUGAAAUCCUGGAGCUCAACUCCAGAACUGCCUUUGAUACUGAAGAUCUUGAGUUCGGGAGAGGUGAGUGGAACUGCGAGUGUAGAGGUGAAAUUCGUAGAUAUUCGCAAGAACACCAGUGGCGAAGGCGGCUCACUGGCCCGAUACUGACGCUGAGGCACGAAAGCGUGGGGAGCAAACA